CCGACGCUCAUCACUUGCACAGUGAAAUGCCGAACCGGAUACGAGUCCGAGAAUUCCAAGUUCGAGCGCGACGAGUUCUCCUGCGGAGAGGGCACGAACUACCGAUGGAACCACCAGACGCCUGAGAAUCCAUAUGCAAGACUGCCCAGUUGUGUUGAGUUGCAGGAAGCUACGGAAGCGAACGGUUUCUCUAGCGUGGACUACCCCGCAGCUCUUUGCCAAUCUUCGGCAGAACAGAAAGCCAUUGAAGAUGGGUUUAGAAAUCUACUUCUCGGACAUGAGGAGCUGUUUGCGUGUUUAAUUCGGGGUACCUGUCAGAUUGAAAGUGUGGAAGCAGUGAAUUGUGAGUCCGUCGGUGUCAGCAGACGGGCAAAAAGGGCGGCAGACACCGGGGUUACUGUCAUAGUUACCACGAUACAGAAUAUAACACAUG